rnacentral:rRNA from 1 species
AUGUUUGUGGUGUUGCAUAUGUUUGUGGUGUUGCAUAUAUGUUUGUAUUUGCAGGUACCGUUAUUUGAAACGCGAUACUUGCCAAUAUUUUGCCGGAAUGUUGAUUCAUUUCCGUUUCGGCGAGAAUUUGGCAAUAUGCAUUUUUUUGUCCUAUUUUUAGGCAGUCAUGCCAAAUUUUUUCUUGGUUCUAAAAUAUCAUUCUGCUCUACCCCGCAGGCGACCAUGGUCCGCACGAUGACUGAAGGCAUCGUGAAUAGGUUUUUGAGCUCCGCGAAGGCCGAGAUGCUUCAAAAGAACGAGAUGGAGAUAAGAUGUCCGCGUCGAAGAUGCAAGCUGAAGAGCCUUAAUGCGGAUGCGGAUUCCGGGCAGGUGCGGGACCACCUGCUCUUGCGUGGUUUCAUGGAUGGCUAUCGGUGGGAAGGUGAUGAAGAUGACUAUGAAGUUGUCCAUGGGGGCCGGGCAAAAAAUGAGGAAGGGCAGUAA